rnacentral:rRNA from 1 species
GACGAACGCUGGCGGCGUGCCUAAUACAUGCAAGUAGAACGAGUUGCGAACGGGUGAGUAACGCGUGGUAACCUGCCUGGUAGCGGGGGAUAACUAUUGGAAACGAUAGCUAAUACCGCAUACCAUCAGAUGUGCCCAGAUGGGAUUAGCUAGUAGGUGGGGUAACGGCUCACCUAGGCGACGAUCCCUAGCUGGUCUGAGAGGAUGACCAGCCACACUGGAACUGAGACACGGUCCAGACUCCUACGGGAGGCAGCAGUGGGGAAUAUUGCACAAUGGGCGCAAGCCUGAUGCAGCCAUGCCGCGUGUGUGAAGAAGGCCUUCGGGUUGUAAAGUUCUUUCGGUGACGAGGCGUUAAUCACAGAAGAAGCACCGGCUAACUCCGUGCCAGCAGCCGCGGUAAUUC